rnacentral:rRNA from 1 species
AUUGAACGCUGGCGGCAGGCCUAACACAUGCAAGUCGAACGAGUGGCGGACGGGUGAGUAAUGUCUGGGAAACUUCCUGAUGGAGGGGGAUAACUACUGGAAACGGUAUCUAAUACCGCCUACCAUCGGAUGUGCCCAGGUGGGAUUAGCUAGUAGGUGGGGUAAAGGCUCACCUAGGGGACGAUCCCUAGCUGGUCUGAGAGGAUGACCAGCAACAGUGGAACUGAGACACGGUCCAGACUCCUACGGGAGGAAGCAUGGGGGAAUAUGGGAAAAUGGGGGCAAGCCUGAUGCAGCAAUGCCGGGUGUAUGAAGAAGGCCUUCGGGUUGUAAAGUACUUUCAGCGGGGAGGCGUUACCCGCAGAAGAAGCACCGGCUAACUCCGUGCCAGCCGCCGCGGUAAUAC